rnacentral:lncRNA from 1 species
UAGAAAGCCAGCAAAGUAGUCUGCUCUAGCAGAGAGCAGUACACUUUGUGGUGCUGUUCUGGGGAGCCUGGUUAUCUAGGUGGCUUUUUCUAUGUGCCUAGGUUUGUGUUCCCCUCAAUGGCUCAUAUCCCUAGAGAAAGUCUUAUGGAUCUGGUUGUCCUAUAAGUGGUCUGGAGUCUUGAAUGGAAUGCAGACCAAAGCCUGAGGAAGGAUAAACCUGUUUCACAAGUCUGUGACAUUUGUGCCUUUGGCAAAUUCUGCUUGUAUCUGAGGUCACCGCACCUAACAGUAACACUGGUGAGAUGCAAUUAGACCUCCACUUGGAAUCGUGCAAGUUCUCAUGGAACCUAUCCCAGGGCUGGACAGCUACAAGAGCUAUAGAAUUGAGCAAACAGGACCCCAAAUCCUCUGCAGAAACAGGAUCAGCAAGCGUCAGUUGGCUGAUUGGAGACACCUGGCCCCUGAGGCAAGCAGUCAAAGAAUACUUGACAUUCACAGAGUAUAUUGCCCGGGAGCUGAUUACAACAGCACACUGAGAAGGAAGAUGGCGUGUGAUAUAUUCAAAGUACAUGGUGGAGGUCAGUGACCUUAUUUUCAAUAUUGAUCAAUGCCUGUUACAAAGAGAAUGCCUGUAUAACAGAAAGAUUCCAAGCCCUAGUUAACUGUCCAGUUAUCUCAAGUCAAAUUAAAUAUAUGUGUCAAAUGUGGUAAUGAAAAUAAAAACAAUAAAGCAAAAACA